rnacentral:rRNA from 1 species
AAGACCUUGCACUUUUGGAGCGGCCGAMGUCUGAUUAGCUAGUUGGUGGGGUAAUGGCCUACCAAAGCUUCGAUCAGUAGCUGGUCUGAGAGGACGGCCAGCCACACUGGGACUGAGACACGGCCCAGACUCCUACGGGAGGCAGCAGUGGGGAAUUUUGGACAAUGGGCGCAAGCCUGAUCCAGCCAUGCCGCGUGAGUGAAGAAGGCCUUCGGGUUGUAAAGCUCUUUCAGCCGGGAAGAAAAGGUUGCGAUUAAUAAUCGCAAUUUAUGACGGUACCGGAAGAAGAAGCACCGGCUAGCUACGUGCCAGCAGCCGCGGUAAUACGUAGGGUGCGAGCGUUAAUCGGAAUUACUGGGCGUAAAGGGUGCGCAGGCGGUUUUGUAAGUCAGAUGUGAAAUCCCCGGGCUUAACCUGGGAACU